rnacentral:rRNA from 1 species
GACGAACGCUGGCGGCGUGCCUAAUACAUGCAAGUCGAGCGAUGAAGAUUGGUGCUUGCACCAAUUUGAAGAGCAGCGAACGGGUGAGUAACGCGUGGGGAAUCUGCCUUUGAGCGGGGGACAACAUUUGGAAACGAAUGCUAAUACCGCAUAACAACUUUAAACAUAAGUUUUAAGUUUGAAAGAUGCAAUUGCAUCACUCAAAGAUGAUCCCGCGUUGUAUUAGCUAGUUGGUGAGGUAAAGGCUCACCAAGGCGAUGAUACAUAGCCGACCUGAGAGGGUGAUCGGCCACAUUGGGACUGGGACAGGGCCCAAACGCCUGCGGGAGGCAGCAGUAGGGAAUCUUCGGCAAUGGACGAAAGUCUGAGCGAGCAACGCCGCGUGAGUGAAGAAGGGUUUCGGAUCGUAAAACUCGGUUGGUAGAGAAGAACGUUGGUGAGAGUGGAAAGCUCAUCAAGUGACGGUAACUACCCAGAAAGGGACGGCUAACUACGUG